AUGGUGGUUCUUGCUGCUUCCAUCAUCUCAAAAUCUGGAAAAGCACUUGUUUCAAGACAGUAUGUUGACAUGUCUCGAAUUAGGAUCGAAGGAUUACUUGCAGCAUUCCCAAAACUUGUUGGAACUGGGAAGCAGCACACUUAUCUUGAGACUGAAAGUGUCCGUUAUGUUUAUCAACCUAUUGAAGGCCUAUAUCUGCUGCUUAUUACAAACAAGCAGAGUAACAUUCUUGAAGAUCUGGACACACUGAGGCUACUAUCCAAGCUUGUGCCUGAGUACUCUUCUCUGGAUGAGGAUAGUAUCUGUAAAACAGCAUUUGAGCUUAUAUUUGCAUUUGAUGAGGCAAUCUCUCUCGGGAACAAGGAAAAUGUGACGGUGCAACAAGUCAAGCAAUACUGUGAGAUGGAAAGCCAUGAAGAGAAGGCACAUAAGCUGAUGAUGCAGAGCAAGAUCAAUGAAACUAAAGAUGUCAUGAAGAAGAGAGCUAGUGAGCUUGACAAAAUCAGGAUGGAGAAAGGCAAACUUGACAAAGGAGGAUACUCAUCAAUAUCUGGUCCCCGUGUUAUUGAAAAAACUUUCAGUGACAUGAACAUCAGUGGUACUGGCUUUGGAAGUGGUUCUGGAUUAAGUGGAAUAGGCGCUGAUAUGGACUCAUUUGCGAGUAAACCCAAAGGUCGUCCGUCAGCUGCUGCUACUGCUCCUGGCAAAGGUUUUGGUAUGAAAUUAGGCAAAUCACAGAAGACAAAUCAGUUCCUAGAAUCUUUGAAAGCUGAAGGAGAAGUCAUUUUGGAGGAUGCACAACCAAGUUCAGUUUCUUCAAGGGCCUCGCCUCUUAUACCAAGCGAUCCCAUCACAGUGACUAUUGAAGAGAAACUUAAUGUAAUAGUUAAAAGAGAUGGAGGUGUUAAUAACUUUGAUGUGCAAGGAACCCUUGCUCUUCAGGUCCUUAAUGAUGCAGAUGGAUUUAUCCAGUUACAGAUCGAAAACAAAGAUGUACCUGGACUCAGCUUCAAAACACACCCCAAUAUCCACAAGGAGUUGUUUAACAGCCAGCAAAUUGUUGGAGCAAAAGAUCCAAACAGGCCUUUCCCAAGUGGUCAAAAUGAAACACCACUUGUGAAAUGGAGAAUCCAGGGGAUGAAUGAAUCGAAUUUACCUCUGUCAGUUAACUGCUGGCCCUCGGUAUCUGGAAAUGAAACCUAUGUCAACAUUGAAUAUGAGGCUUCAGAGAUGUUUGACCUGAACAAUGUUGUCAUAUCUAUUCCUCUACCUGCACUUCGGGAGGCUCCAACUGUUAAACAGAUUGAUGGAGAGUGGAAGUAUGACCCAAGAAACUCUGUAUUGGAAUGGUCCAUCAUCCUUAUUGAUCAGUCAAACCGCAGUGGGUCGAUGGAAUUUAUUGUUCCCCCGGCUGAUCCGUCAACAUUUUUCCCCAUCUCUAUUGGAUUUGCUGCUUCCAAUACUUUCAGUGAUUUGAAGGUCACUGGAAUUCAUCCUCUGAAGGAAGGCAACCCUCCAAAGUAUUCACAGAGGGUCCGUUUGGUUGCUGCGAACUAUCAAAUAGUCUAA
rnacentral:rRNA from 1 species